UGGGGAAUAUUGGACAAUGGGCGCAAGCCUGAUCCAGCCAUGCCGCGUGAGUGAUGAAGGCCCUCGGGUUGUAAAGCUCUUUCACCGGUGAAGAUAAUGACGGUAACCGGAGAAGAAGCCCCGGCUAACUUCGUGCCAGCAGCCGCGGUAAUACGAAGGGGGCUAGCGUUGUUCGGAUUUACUGGGCGUAAAGCGCACGUAGGCGGACUUUUUAGUCAGGGGUGAACUCCCGGGGCUCAACCCAGGAACUGCCUUUGAUACUGGAAGUCUGGAGUAUGGUAGUGGGGAGUGGAAUUCCGUGUGUAGAGGUGAAAUUCGUAGAUAUGCGGAGGAACACCAGUGGCGAAGGCGGCUAACUGGACCAGUACUGACGCUGAGGUGCGAAAGCGUGGGGAGCAAACAGG
rnacentral:rRNA from 1 species